UCUUGUGAAAACAGGUUCAUAGUAAGUAGUCAGGCUGGUUCUGGUAAGUCAUUCUCGAUUUAGAUUCCUCAAGACUGCCAGGCGCGCAUCACCCUGGCAACCAGGGCCACGCCUGCGGGUGCGCAAAGGAUUCUGGGGGCCCCAGGAAGGGCGGGGCAGGGCGCACGGAACAUCCCCUGCUGGAGGGGAUGGGGGGGAAGUCUGAGGCCACACGGUUGAGCAGGCGACGGGUGAAGAGCCAGAGCCUGCGGGAGGGGGGGUGCUGCAAGGCCGCGUGGGCAUGCAGGCUGGCGCGCUGCACAGCGUCUCCAGGUAGCUGCAGAGGGGAGAGCCUGGCGGGGAACCGGCUUUGGGCGGACAUCUCCCCGGCUUCAUUACGCCGGAGCCUGAAGGAGCAUCAGUGACCUCAGCAUCACCUGGAAGCUUGUUAGAAAUGCCUACUCUCAGCCUCUGCCCCAGAUCAACUGAAUUAGACCCUCCUCUGGCAAGAUCCUUGUGUGAUAUGAAUACAUAUCAAAGGGUCUCCCUCUGAUUUUGAUGCCGUUCUUGACCACAAAA